rnacentral:rRNA from 1 species
GAUUAACGCUGGCGGCGUGCCUAACACAUGCAAGUCGAGCGGCAGCGAGUUUUACACUGAAUUCUGGAAGCUUCUAGUUGAAAGAGAAGAUUUAUUCAAGAAUUUUGUGUAAAAUGUCGGCGAGCGGCGGACGGCUGAGUAACGCGUGGGAACGUACCCCAAAGUGAGGGAUAACGCAUCGAAAGGUGUGCUAAUACCGCAUAUGGUCUUCGGAUUAAAGCCUUCGGGCGCUUUGGGAACGGCCUGCGUAAGAUUAGAUAGUUGGUGGGGUAAUGGCCUACCAAGUCGACGAUCUUUAACUGGUUUGAGAGGAGGAUCAGUCAGACUGGAACUGAGACACGGUCCAGACUCCUACGGGAGGCAGCAGUGAGGAAUCUUCCACAAUGGGCGAAAGCCUGAUGGAGCAACGCCGCGUGCAGGAUGAAGGCCUUCGGGUUGUAAACUGCUUUUAUAAGUGAGGAUUAUGACAGUAACUUAUGAAUAAGGAUCGGCUAACUACGUG